UCACAUAAUGUGAAAUGCUGGGAAGACAAUUAAGCAAGGAAAGGGAAUAGACUGUGAUUGAGGGAAUGGACUAGGGAGGAUAUUUUAGAUACAUGAUUGGACUGUGCUGUCUGUACUGGCCACGAGUGAAGGGAAACGACCAAUCAGAGAGUGCCAGUCACUUGAAGAUCUAUCCAACUGACACCUUCCUCAGCACAACACUCUGGGCAGCCAUUACAAGUCAAGUACUGGCCAUGUCUGUACUGUGAAGCACUGUGCUGGAGGAUGUAGAAAAAUAUAAGGCCUCUUCUGAUACAGGCUCCCACUAUAUGCCUCUGCAGAUGUAGGACAGGCUGUACCAAGAGUUGGUUUUCUCUCAGGAAAAAUGGAUUGGGAUAAUCCAGCACAGCUAUAAUUUUGUUACUAUUUUUAUUGUACCUCAAUGUGAUUUGAAGUAUGAAGGGCAGCGAAUUUGAAUCGUGGGAUUACCAGCUUGAUCCAGAAGUCCUAACCAUUGUCUUACAGGUAAACUAUCAUAUAUGGAAUAUUCAUUUAUGUUUACCUUAUUGUAGGCAAUGCUAUUAGUAAUGAAAAUGAGGUAUAUUUUCUUGAAAUUGGAUUGCUCGUUUCCUUGACGCUUCUGUUUUUUCUAUCCCCCAUAUAGUAUUCUCAAUCAUCACAAAUAAAGGAACCACUUGAAAUUGCUUCAGGAUAUUAAUUCCUAAGGAAUGAGAUUUAGCAGUGUAGUUAAAUCUUGGUAGUUAAAUUCUUAUGUUCAAAGUUCUGAUAGACCUAGUUUGAAUCUUGAUUCUAUCAACCGUGAGGUUUGUGACUUUGGGGAAAUAACUUCUUUUUCUCCAACAAUAUCUUCCUUCAAUGGUUAUUGUGAAGAAUAAAUUAGAUACUGCCCAGAAACCUCUUGGUUUAGUUCCUGGCAGAUAGUAA
rnacentral:lncRNA from 1 species